AAUCAAUUUUUGUUUAUUCUAAAACAGAAACCCUAAAAUUCUUCCACAAUUUCCUUUCAACUUUUGAAACCCUAGCCACCACAAUCUCCAACCUCAACCCAUCCCCACGGCAGGCACCAUAGUCGCACCAAUUUGCCGCCAUCUAACUCUAUCUGGCAGUUAAGAGUCACUAAUAGGUUACUGUAAUCAUAACCCAUCUCUCCUGUGCGAUUCCAGUGGCAUCUCUCGGCUUAUCCAAAUUCCCUUCAUUUUCACAGAUUAUUAAUUUUUAAAGCUGAAGUUGUUUAUCCUUUUGUUUUGCUCUUCGGAAACAGUGAUUUAAAUGUUUUUCAAUUCUUUUAUUUAAAAUGUUGACAUAAAGGAAAGGGCAAAGAAAGUGACGUAAAAGUUGAAAUCAGCUCCAUUUAAUUUUUGUUCUUUUUUUUCUGAAUUUGUUGAAACAAAGUAAGGAGCGGAUUUGAGAUUUGGUUUCGGUUGAGGAGCACUAAUUGUAGCUGUCAUUUUGGGAGUAUUUAUUUUGAUCUCACGAGACCGUGAAUCUAAUUAUUCGAAAAUGGAUCACUCAAUUGUUAACACUAAAAAAAAUUGUUGACACUAAAUAUAAGGCAUCCAAACUCUAUAGUAAGACUGAAGUCUUUGCAUAACAAGGGAACUGAUUGCUGGAUAACCACUAAGAACAAGGCAUCGUCUCUAUAUUUGGCUUGAUAUUUUUAUCUUGAACUGGUUCUGAGCGUUGAAUCUGAUCAGAGGAAAACAAACUAAAGAACUUCAUCAUGGCACUAUGGCAGCAACGAGCUAUUCAGCACGCGAAACCAUUGAAGGUUGUUGUCAUACUUGGUAGGAGGAUGCAAGCAAGAGCAAUUGCAAUUUGGAAAAAAAAGGGCAGAAAAAAUAAACUGAUCAAAACAGCCAGUUCAUCACUUCACACUCUUCAUGUUGUAAUGUCGCUUGUGUACAAGUUUUCAUAACCCAACUCAUUCAAAAACAUAGUUAAGACACAUGUUCUGCAC